UACGUAGGGGGCGAGCGUUGUCCGGAAUCAUUGGGCGUAAAGCGCGUGUAGGCGGCUUGGUAAGUCCGGUGUGAAACCUUGGGGCUCAACCCCAAGCCUGCACUGGAUACUGCCUCGCUUGAGUCCGGGAGGGGAGAGCGGAAUUCCUAGUGUAGCGGUGAAAUGCGCAGAUAUUAGGAAGAACACCGGUGGCGAAGGCGGCUCUCUGGAACGGUACUGACGCUGAGACGCGAAAAGCGUGGGGGAAGCGAAACAGG
rnacentral:rRNA from 1 species